CUGUGUGUUGUUGGGUAGGGGAGCGUUCUGUAAGCCUGUGAAGGUGUGUCGUGAGGCAUGCUGGAGGUAUCAGAAGUGCGAAUGCUGACAUAAGUAACGAUAAAGCGGGUGAAAAGCCCGCUCGCCGGAAGACCAAGGGUUCCUGUCCAACGUUAAUCGGGGCAGGGUGAGUCGACCCCUAAGGCGAGGCCGAAAGGCGUAGUCGAUGGGAAACGGGUUAAUAUUCCCGUACUUGGUGUUACUGCGAAGGGGGGACGGAGAAGGCUAUGUUGGCCGGG
rnacentral:rRNA from 3 species